AAUCAUUCUAAAAGUACUAAGGGUCAUAGUCAACUAGUAUCAAAAAGAUCGUUCUACUAACAAAAAUCAUGGCCAAGAUCAGCAUGUUCCUCGGCUUCUUUUUAUUUGUCCUGAUUGCCAUGCCAAACUCUUCUUCGAGCAGGAUGAUGCUCGGGGUGAGUGUGGGACCUGUGGAUGUGGAAGUAGGAACUACUAAGUCGUGCCCAGCAGAAGACUGCAGCCAAAUUAGUGGUUGCCCACCAACUGGUGGUGAUUGCCCACCGCUUGUAUGCACAAAUGGUGUCCGCCAAACGUGUUGUGACUGCGGAGAAGAAUGCUGUCCUGUUUAAAAUACCUAUCUGAGACUGAUCGUCCUGCGUUUCAUACAUUUUAUUGUUAUGUGACCGUCGUGUGUGGAUGGUAUUGUGUUUACUUUUAUCCGAAUAAUUUGAUCAUCAUAUUUUUAUGUACCCAUGUUUCUCUUUCGACCAUAAAUUUGAAGUGGCUUGUUUGUUUUGUUGUGUCUGAUUACAGUUAAUAUCAUAGAUCGUAUCUUGUGUUUUGUUGCGUGA